UUAACUCUGAGUUCUAAUUAGUUUUCCAUUGCUGUUACAAACACCAUGACAAAAAGUAACUUAGGGAGGAAACGGUUUGUUUGGCUUACAUUUCCGGAUCACAGUCCAUCUUUGAGAUGACAACCAUCUGGAAUCACCUUGGAUCACUGCUUAUGAACAUCAAAAUCUCAAUCUGCAUUCCACUCCCUUUUUAAUAAGACCCCACAGUUACGAGUCAGCAGUCAUCAAUACCACUGCAAAAGAAGCUUCCUUGCCCAUACCAGCCAGCAGUAGCAUGGAUCAUGGACUUCAUCAUGAUUUCCAGCGGCAGCUGAGAUCCCAGACAUCAAUCUGGUCCCCUGUGGCAGCAGGGACCACAGACUCCAACAUGGCCUCCAGUGGUCACAAGGACCAUGGACAUCAACAUGGCUUGUAGAGGCAGCACAGAUCACAGACAUUAGUACAGCCUCCAGUAGCCUAUGUUGCCUGCAGUGGCAAUAUGAGUUACAGACGUCAGUAUAGCAUGGAGCAGCACAGACCAUAUAUCUGCACAGCCCCUGGUGGCACCACGAACUUCAGAGACUAGCGUGCAUCUCUGUCUCUCCCACUAAAGGCUGCCCAUCUCAUAAGGCUGAGCUGACGUCCCCCUGACAUGCUUCCCUAGUUCCAGAUUCCCAGGCCUCUUUUUGUCCUUAAGUCCUUAGCAUUCAUCUUCAAUAAGAGAAUGCACAUUUUCUUGGAAUGUUGAUAGGUAUUAUACAAAAUGGAUCCCAUGUCCAAAGAGAUAGAGAAUUCUGGGUCCACAAAGGGUAAUCAGAUUUUCAAGACUCCCCGGAACCUUUAAGAUACUAAUAUUCAUGGGGAAUAUCCAUGAAUAUGACAUGAAUGUUACCUCAAUUCACUUGGCCAUGGGUACUGUUCACACAGCAUCCCAGGGACUGCCUCACCUUUGACCUGGGGUGGGGAAAAAUCCAAAUCUGCUUUAAAUUCAUAGUAGGACCACAGCAGAUAGCUGUGAGAUUGAGAGCAUCACACUUAGGGGCAAGACUGGUCUCUACUACAAGGUCAGCAGCGUUCCCUGAAACAACGCACUGCCUGGGCAGAUCCCCAAGCUGGAGUUCCUGUGCCCAGCAGAACUCUUUGGCCUUCACACUCACUGGAACUUGACACACAGCACAUCUUCAUAGACUCUCAAAUAUUCCACCCAGAACAGUUAACACCAGGUUCCCCACCAAUGACUUCAUGGGAGAAAUAACAGAUGGAGUUUCCAUCACACAUCUUGGGAGAAUAUUUCUAAAACUACCUACUCAACAUCCGAAUGACUCUGAAGACACUCUUCGGCUUUGCUAUUAGUGUGAGCAUUCCUUUCCACUCCAUGUGUCACAUUCGUGUUGAAUUUCCUGUUGUAAACUGUGAUUUCUUUGAACCACUGUGAUAACACAUUAAAAGUAUAUGUCCCCAAGCCACCACAGAAUCUUUACUGUAUCUGGGAAGAACAGCUAGUGUUUGAAGAUUUUCAGGGCUAGAGUAGGGGUGUUAUCAAAACAAACCAACAGAGAAACCUCUAUCAACACAUCACAAGUACCUAUCCUUAUCAAUUGCCUCAAGUAACACAAUGUCUACACCAAGAAUAUGAAUAAUUUCUGUGUCAAAUAGACAAAGUGGGGUGACAGACAUGUCAGUAUAGUGCUGGAAAUCAGUUAGAGCAAUAAGACUAGAGAAAGAAAUAAAAGAGAUACAAACAGGACAAGAAGUUGACAUUUCCCCCUGUGUCAGAUGACAUGAUCCUAUAUAUCAGAAACCCUCAAUACACUACCCCAAGUCUCUUAGAGCUGAUAAAAAACCUUCAGUAAAGUGGAAGGAUACAAAAUUAGCACACAAAAAAUCAGACUAGGUGCCAACAGCAGACAUACUAACAAAGAAAACAGAGAAGCAGUCUGUCUCCUUC